rnacentral:rRNA from 1 species
UCGGGCCUACGGGGGGCAGCAGUGAGGAAUAUUGGUCAAUGGCCGGAAGGCUGAACCAGCCAAGCCGCGUGAAGGACGAAGGUGCCAAGCAUUGUAAACCUCUUUUGUCAGGGAGCAAAGGCGUCCACGUGUGGACGAGAGGAGAGUACCUGAAGAAAAAGCAUCGGCUAACUCCGUGCCAGCAGCCGCGGUAAUACGGAGGAUGCGAGCGUUAUCCGGAUUUAUUGGGUUUAAAGGGUGCGUAGGCGGAGUGUCAAGUCAGCGGUAAAAUUUCGGGGCUCAACCCCGUCGUGCCGUUGAAACUG